AAACAUUAUUCUUGAUGUCUCUGCAAGACUGUUUUGGGGGUGAAAUUAACAGGCAAGUUGGUGAGCUUUGGUGAAGCAAACAACCUUACAUGAUUUCUGUGGCCCUGCAGACUCCUGACUGAACUAACACAGUUGGGGAGAAUAAGCCGUAAAAAGGGGAGCUUUUCUGUCCUUUCACUUUGCACUGAUGCCCCAUCCAUCCUCCCUUUCUGCUUGCCAUGGUAAAUGGUGUCCGACGUAACACAGAUGCACUGUGCACUGGAGAGGCAGAGCAUCCUGCCUUCCACAGCCGUGCACACCAGUCCCUGUGCACAAGUGGCCACCCACCCAGCGAAUCGACGUGGUGUGCUUAUCAAAAUCUGUGUGUCUGUGGGCCAGAGCCAAAUCCAGCAGGAUAUUGACGGAUGUCCUUACUGGUAAGGCUGUCUGGGACUCUCAGUGAAAAGACCGGCCAUGUGUGCCUCCAGAUGGUACUAGAUCCAGGUGCUAGAACAAGAUGAGCAAGUGAAUCUCUCAUACUUCAGAUCCUUCAAGGAUCUUGAAAAGAGCGCUGGAAUCAAAGGCGAACGCCACCACUGCCCGGCCUUGUUUUGUUUUUAAAGACAGUUUUCGGCACACAGAGAGGCUGUGAGUUAGGACGGGGGUUUCUUGCCGUUGCCACCAUUCUCAUUGACACGUUAUGCUGCACACAGCAGAGCCCCAUCCUGAAUGCCCAGCGGUGCCCACAGCCAGGAGGAGCAUUCGAUGUGUGAUGACUCAUCUCGUGCAUCAGACGCUCUCUAAAGUUCCCACAGAUUAUACCAUGGCUUAGUGAGUGCGAUUCUAAGACAGUUCCAAAAGACUUUUCAAUCCGUGGGAGUUUCAAAGUGGAUUCUCAGACAAACAUGGGGAGGACUGAGGCAGGCUUGGACACGCACAGAAUCAGACAACGAUGGGCUGAGGAAGUGGCUCAGCGGUUAAGAGCACUGUCUGCUCUUCCAAAGGUCCGGAGUUCAAAUCCCUGCAACCACAUGGUGGCUCACAACCAACUGUAAUGAGAUCUGGCGCCCUCUUCUGGAGUGUCUGAAGACAGAUACAGUGUACUUACAUAUAGUAAAUAAAUAAAUCUUAAAAAAAAAAAAAACU
rnacentral:lncRNA from 1 species